UGAAUGAGGUCAUGUUUUCAUGUACACAUUAGAAUGGAAUGUUGAUUACCUCAUAUUGAAUGAUUUUGUUUUUGAGAUACAAUAUCAGAAGGUAGAGACAGGUUGUAGUAACACCCUAACCAUUUGGAUGCGAGGUGUUACAAGGAAGCUUUGGAGAAGAUUUGUACCAGCAAAAUCUUACAGGACCUAAGACCAUGUUGCACUCCUUUCCACUCAAUAAGGCUUCACUUAUGCCAUCUAUACCAAAAUCGUUAUCCAUGAUUUAUGUUUCAUCUUUUGUUUCCUUUUCGUUUGUUUUGAGAAAUAGAUCGAUCAAUUCCGAUUUUUUC
rnacentral:lncRNA from 1 species